GACGAACGCUGGCGGCGUGCCUAAUACAUGCAAGUAGAACGCUGAAGGAGGAGCUUGCUUCUCUGGAUGAGUUGCGAACGGGUGAGUAACGCGUAGGUAACCCGCCUGGUAGCGGGGGAUAACUAUUGGAAACGGUAGCUAAUACCGCAUAAUAGUAGAUGUUGCAUGACAUUUGCUUAAAAGGUGCAAUUGCAUCACUACCAGUUGGACCUGCGUUGUAUUAGCUAGUUGGUGGGGUAACGGCUCACCAAGGCGACGAUACAUAGCCGACCUGAGAGGGUGAUCGGCCACACUGGGACUGAGACACGGCCCAGACUCCUACGGGAGGCAGCAGUAGGGAAUCUUCGGCAAUGGACGGAAGUCUGACCGAGCAACGCCGCGUGAGUGAAGAAGGUUUUCGGAUCGUAAAGCUCUGUUGUAAGAGAAGAACGAGUGUGAGGGUGGAAAGUUCACACUGUGACGGUAUCUUACCAGAAAGUGACGGCUAACUACGUG
rnacentral:rRNA from 1 species